rnacentral:rRNA from 1 species
GACGAACGCUGGCGGCGUGCCUAAUACAUGCGAGUCGAGCGCAGGAAGUCGACGGAACCCUUCGGGGGGAAGUCGACGGAAUGAGCGGCGGACGGGUGAGUAACACGUAAAGAACCUGCCCUCAGGUCUGGGAUAACCACGAGAAAUCGGGGCUAAUACCGGAUGGGUCAUCGGACCGCAUGGUCCGAGGAUGAAAGGCGCUCCGGCGUCGCCUGGGGAUGGCUUUGCGGUGCAUUAGCUAGUUGGUGGGGUAAUGGCCCACCAAGGCGACGGUGCAUAGCCGACCUGAGAGGGUGAUCGGCCACACUGGGACUGAGACACGGCCCAGACUCCUACGGGAGGCAGCAGUAGGGAAUCUUCCACAAUGGACGAAAGUCUGAUGGAGCAACGCCGCGUGAACGAUGAAGGCCUUCGGGUCGUAAAGUUCUGUUGUAAGGGAAGAACAAGUGCCGCAGGCAAUGGCGGCACCUUGACGGUACCUUGCGAGAAAGCCACGGCUAACUACGUGCCAGCAGCCGCAGUAACAC